CACGUAGGAGGCGAGCGUUGUCCGGAAUCAUUGGGCGUAAAGAGCGCGCAGGCGGCUUGGCAAGUCGGGUGUGAAAUCCCGGGACUCAACCCCGGGACUGCAUUCGAUACUGUCAGGCUAGAGGUAGGUAGGGGAGAUCGGAAUUCCUGGUGUAGCGGUGAAAUGCGCAGAUAUCAGGAGGAACACCGGUGGCGAAGGCGGCACUCUGGGCCGGAACUGACGCUGAGGAGCGAAAGCGUGGGGAGCGAACAGG
rnacentral:rRNA from 1 species